rnacentral:rRNA from 1 species
CCUACGGGUGGCAGCAGUGAGGAAUAUUGGUCAAUGGCCGGGAGGCUGAACCAGCCAAGUCGCGUGAGGGAAGACGGCCCUACGGGUUGUAAACCUCUUUUGUCAGGGAGCAAGGUGCAGGUCGGGACCUGCUGUGAGAGUACCUGAAGAAAAAGCAUCGGCUAACUCCGUGCCAGCAGCCGCGGUAAUACGGAGUAUGAGAGCGUUAUCGGGAUUUAUUGGGUUUAAAGGGUGCGCAUGCGGAGGCACAAGUCCGCGGUAAAAUCGCGGGGCUAAACCCCGCUACGCCGUGGAAACUGUGUCCCUUGAGUGCGCGAAGGGUAGGCGGAAGGUGAGGUGUAGCGGUGAAAUGCAUAGAUAUCGCGCAGAACUCCGAUCGCGAAGGCAGCCUACCGGCGCGCAACUGACGCUCAUGCACGAAAGCGUGGGUAUCGAACAGGAUUAGAUACCCGAGUAGUC